GCAGGGGUGGCAGAGCCUGGUCUGGCUUUAACUGGCCACAGAAAAACGCGCAGGACUUAAGAUCCUGUGGCUUAGCGCCUUCGUGAGUUCAAAUCUCACCCCCUGCA
rnacentral:tRNA from 1 species